UCCCUGCUGGUCCAGUGGUUAAGACUCUACGCUCCCAACGCUGCAGGCACAGGUUCAAUUCCUGGUCAGGGAA
rfam:Ovis aries breed Texel unplaced genomic scaffold TnplacedScaffold_004083128.1, whole genome shotgun sequence.